rnacentral:misc_RNA from 1 species
GAGAGAGAGAGAGAGAAGGAAAAUAGAGGGAUUGACUCGUUAAUAUUGGCAACCUCAAGGACUAGAUAGUAAUUUACCUUGAUGCAUAGAGCUGAGAUGAGUAGCUCUAAAUGUGAAAACAAAUGCAAGGAAUGAGGAUAAAAAUAAUACAAAAUAUUUUAAAACAUCAAAUAUCUAUCUUAAUGGAUGAUUCUCUUAUUAUUUUAAUUAUGUGGCUCUUGCAGUUACUAAUAACAAUUGAAUUGAUAUUUUAUUACUUUUGACUCAAUGAGCCAUGUUUAUCA